UCCUUCUUCCAUUCAUGAAUGCCGUAUAAUUUGUAUUCAGAUCUUCGUUGAAAUUCAUCAAAUCCCAUAUUUUUCCUUUUCUGUUUAAUUGUAUUGUUUAGAGGGUUUUCUUUAUAAUUGUUGUUGGGAAUUAAUUGAAUUAGGUUUACAGUAGCUCCGGUUCAAACAUUAGCAAUUUUUUCAUAACCCCUUUCUCUUUCUUCUUCGAAAAGGGUAACCCUUCUUUUGCAAAAUAUGUUUUGAAUCACUUUAUACAAUUUUAUUUUGUAUUCUGUGAAAGGGAAAUACGACAAUGUUAAUGGCGUGUUUAGAAAAAGGGCGGAAACUUUCACCGUUACACGCCACUAUAAUUGGUAUGUUCAAAUUCUAAAUGAGACACGCUAUUAGCAUUGCGAAUUUUGCCAUAAAGUGGGAAGCUUUAUGCAGAUAAUAUUGGCUGUGAUGUCUAUCUCAAUUCUGUAAUGUAUUCGAUACAAAUAAUUUUGUGCAUAGAUGACUUCUUUAGAGAUAUUUUAGGAAAAAAAAACUGGGAAAUUUUGUGCAAGAGCCCAAGAGCUUUUCUUGAAGCUAGAGAAUAAUCGACCCUUCUCAAACUUAAACAAGGCUCUCGUUGCAAUCCAAUUUGCGACCCUGAGGAUUAUUCAAGGAAAGAUGCAGUUUGUAUCAUGGCCAUCGAAUCUCCGGAGGAGGCUGUGAGUGCCGGUGCUGGUUGUUCCUCAGCAGAAUCUCUUCCAAUGUCUAGUUCUAGUGAACAAUCUACCGCCUUCUCAAACGAGGCAGCUAAAACAAAUAUGUCUAUUCUUCAUAUCUUCUCAAAACACAAGAGUACAACAAAUACUCGAAGUCCAAGUGAUGCAGAGUCAUUGGCUACAGAAUGUGGUUAUUCAUCUUCUUCCAGUGUUUCAUCUUCAUCUAGCGAUUCACAGGCAGCCAUCCGCUGAAGAUAUAACUCCUUUAGCACCUGAUUUGGUUGAGCCCCUAAAAUGGUUGUGGUUAUUGUUUCUUGAUAUAAUUCAGUUUGUAAUGUAUUUUCGUCAUGGAUUCUGGAGUCUUCUCUUCAUGUCUCAGAAUCAACUAAAGGAAACUACUUGCUAUUGGACAAUGGAUAAUUUGUAGGAAAUACAUAUACAUUCAUAUUUCUCAUUAA